rnacentral:rRNA from 1 species
UGGGGAAUAUUGCACAAUGGGCGCAAGCCUGAUGCAGCCAUGCCGCGUGUAUGAAGAAGGCCUUCGGGUUGUAAAGUACUUUCAGCGAGGAGGAAGGCAUGAAGCUUAAUACGCUUCGUGAUUGACGUUACUCGCAGAAGAAGCACCGGCUAACUCCGUGCCAGCAGCCGCGGUAAUACGGAGGGUGCAAGCGUUAAUCGGAAUUACUGGGCGUAAAGCGCACGCAGGCGGUUUGUUAAGUCAGAUGUGAAAUCCCCGGGCUCAACCUGGGAACUGCAUUUGAAACUGGCAAGCUUGAGUCUUGUAGAGGGGGGUAGAAUUCCAGGUGUAGCGGUGAAAUGCGUAGAGAUCUGGAGGAAUACCGGUGGCGAAGGCGGCCCCCUGGACAAAGACUGACGCUCAGGUGCGAAAGCGUGGGGAGCAAACA